rnacentral:rRNA from 1 species
UACAGAGGGGGCAAGCGUUAUUCGGAAUUAUUGGGCGUAAAGCGCACGUAGGCGGAUUUGUAAGUCAGGGGUGAAAUCCCGGGGCUCAACCUCGGAACUGCCUUUGAUACUGCAAGUCUCGAGUCCGAUAGAGGUGGGUGGAAUUCCUAGUGUAGAGGUGAAAUUCGUAGAUAUUCGGAAGAACACCAGUGGCGAAGGCGGCUCACUGGCCCGAUACUGACGCUGAGGCACGAAAGCGUGGGGAGCAAACAGG